rfam:Ectocarpus siliculosus strain Ec 32, whole genome shotgun sequence assembly, unassigned sequences LGTn
GCUCUCAUAGCUCAGUUGGUUAGAGCGUACGCUUAGUAAGCGUAAGGUCCGUGGUUCAACUCCGCGUGGGAGCU